rnacentral:lncRNA from 1 species
ACAGGGGCCUUGGUCCUUCCAUUGAUUCAUAAGUACAACACCCUACUUCUUGGAUACAGAGCCAUCGCGGAAUGUUCGCUGGAGUGAGGCAGCGUAUGGAGCACAUGGGACAUGCAGACCCAGAUGGACAUCUUACAAACUUUCAGAGGAGCUGAAGCCAGAUUGUUCUUACAAAUGGUCACCAGAAGGAGGACAAUCACAAACUGUCUCAUCCUCCUCUGCAAAUCCAACAGAAAGGACACAGUAGAGUGGGCAAGAAUGCAAAGAAGGUCUGUGGUUUGGAACUGGCCCAAGCCGAACUAAACUUUUCUAAAUAUACAUUAAACUGUCAACAAAGAGCACCGUGACCCACAGCCUGAAUAAAGGGAGAGCCCCAAGGCCCUCUGAAGCCACUAGUUCUGUGAGUUGUUUUAGGGAGAAGACAGACAACCAAGAAUUAUUUACCUUAUUAGACUGUGCCCAUCCAAGCCCAGGUAAAACUUUUUGAUCAGCAGAAAACUGGAAUUAUUUCCCUUUCUCUAUCCUGGAUUGAGUGUGAAUUCCCCAGAGAAACUUGGCUUUGAGAGCACUAGCUGGACAUAUAGGGGUCCAUUUCCAAUCUGCUCUGAGAAGGGCCCUGUCUUCAUCCUAAAGGAAGGCUUUAGAAAACUGUUAUCUAAGAUCUAGGAUUGAAGAUGGUGAGAACCUGAGGCUGAGCAAUUGGCCCCAAUUCUUCCUGAAGCAUUAUCUGAGAGAGAGAGCCUAGCCUGUGGUUUUUGACCCCUGGCAGAAGGGUGGAGAGAGGGAAGAAGAAAGAAGGAAGAUGAAGACAACUUCCUGCUCAAGACCAACCCAUCUCCCCUC